ACUUGGAAAUCAAACCUUAAACAGUAAGAGCUAUAUUUCUGAAACUUAAAAAGUUUGGCGGCUUUUAGAAAAAUCAGGGGAAUUUGUAUCAUUAUCGUAACCACGCGCUAUACCUUACUUAGCUUUAGCUUGUAUACCGCCGCCUAAGUAUUCUUAGUAAAGAAAAACUAUAACUAGCUAUAAAAACGUCAGGUCAUGGUGCAGCAUAGCUAAGAAGAUUACAAAUUACAAUUUAUAUAUAAUUGGAGUUAAAAUUAAAAUUUUAAUGAAACAGGACUUGUAAGUAAUUACUAAUUAGAAUAGAGUAAUAAAUAUAAACUAAAAGUGUACAUAUCGCCCGUCACUCU
rnacentral:rRNA from 1 species